AGUUGAUCCAUGUGCUCAAUUUAAUUGUUAGGCUCACCUAAAAACUACAAUGUCAAGGAAAACCAUUGCCUUCUGGACCAGAUCACAGAGGACAAAGAUGACAAGCUGUGAGACUCUUCUGUUGAAGUGUUCCUGAUCAUUCUGGGGUUGAAGGAAAGCUUGACUGCUUAGCUGAUGUGACAGUGUUCAUCUGCCAGGAGGAGUGCUGAUCUGUGCCCUGAGCUCAGUGAAGCACGUGCUUGUUCCCCA
rnacentral:lncRNA from 1 species